CUAUUUUCACUCUAGAUUUUAAACUUUAAUCUUUAACUUAAUCAUUCAAGAUCCUGUAAAUUUUCAGGUUGUCACAUAUACAGCCGCCCCUGGCUGCCUCCAUACUAGCUAUAGCUCGUCUAGUUUCUCUGUUUCUGUCUAUCACCACUGGCGAAGCUAUGGUACAAAUGUGGGGUCAAUUGACACCACACAAUUUUUGAAAUCACAUAAAAUAUUUUUACCUCAUUCAAUUUUUGACCUCCACUCAAUUUUUUACCCCAC
rnacentral:lncRNA from 1 species